rnacentral:rRNA from 1 species
AACGAACGCUGGCGGCGUGCUUAACACAUGCAAGUCGCGCGAGAAAGGGGCUUCGGCUCCGAGUAAAGCGGCGCACGGGUGCGUAACACGUGGAUAAUCUGCCUUCAGGGCCGGGAUAACCUUCCGAAAGGAGGGCUAAUACCGGAUGAGCCCACGGGACCCUCGGGUCCUGGGGGAAAAGCUGGCCUCUGUAAACAAGCUAGUGCCUGAAGAUGAGUCCGCGGCCCAUCAGCUAGUUGGCGGGGUAAUGGCCCACCAAGGCAACGACGGGUAGCUGGUCUGAGAGGACGAUCAGCCACACUGGAACUGAGACACGGUCCAGACUCCUACGGGUGGCAG